GAGUUUGAUCGUGGCUCAGGAUGAACGCUGGCGGCGUGCCUAAUACAUGCAAGUCGAGCGAACUGAUUAGAAGCUUGCUUCUAUGACGUUAGCGGCGGACGGGUGAGUAACACGUGGGCAACCUGCCUGUAAGACUGGGAUAACUUCGGGAAACCGAAGCUAAUACCGGAUAAGAUCUUCUCCUUCAUGGGAGAUGAUUGAAAGAUGGUUUCGGCUAUCACUUACAGAUGGACCCGCGGUGCAUUAGCUAGUUGGUGAGGUAACGGCUCACCAAGGCAACGAUGCAUAGCCGACCUGAGAGGGUGAUCGGCCACACUGGGACUGAGACACGGCCCAGACUCCUACGGGAGGCAGCAGUAGGGAAUCUUCCGUAAUGGACGAAAGUCUGACGGAGCAACGCCGCGUGAGUGAUGAAGGCUUUCGGGUCGUAAAACUCUGUUGUUAGGGAAGAACAAGUACAAGAGUAACUGCUUGUACCUUGACGGUACCUAACCAGAAAGCCACGGCUAACUACGUGCC
rnacentral:rRNA from 1 species